CUUGUAGAUAUACUCCAAUGCGGAGGAUAUUUUCACUUGAGAAAUAAAGAAAUGUAUCCAGUUGUUGACUAAUUUCAGUUACCUUCGAACUAAAGUCUUGCGUAAUUGGUCAGCUGCUUGAUUAUGCUUUGGGGCCAUACAUGUUAAGAGAAGGGAUUAAGAGAUGCUAUAACUGUGACGUGGUAAGGUUGGACCCAGGUGCAGAGAAGAGACCAGAAGAUGAAGCAGUGGUUCCAACCAGUAUCUCCACCCCUCAAGGGCCCACUUAACUGCCAAAAGCUCCCAGUUUUCUACAUCGUAGUUGCCUUCCGCUGGUGAGACCCGCUUGGAGAGAAAGGUGCAUGGGUGCAGUUUCUUGUCCUCCUCGUUCCGCUGUGAAAGUACCGCACCAGCUCCGGUGUCCGAGGCGUCCACCUCUACCACAAAGGGGCGAGUAGGAUCAGGAUGAACGAGGAUGGGUCCGGAGGUGAAACGUCCCUUGAGCUCUAUCAAUGCCCUGUCAGUCUCAGGAUUCCUGCAAAAACCUGCUUACGUGAGGUGAGACAGGGCUGUAUGUGUUCCAGAGGUUUUUUGGAGAAGAUCAGGAUGUCGUCGAGGUGAACAAAGACGAACCGGUUCAACAUAUCCCUAAGAGUGUCAUUGAUCAAUGCCUGAAAGACGGCCGAUUUUAAGCAUUGCGGAGGUCCAGUUUGGUGAAGAAUUGGUCUCCUAGGGCCAACUCCAAGGCGGCGGACAUCGGGUUUGUUGAACAUGAGUGGAAAUGAAACUCCAGCACACUGGUAGCACUAAAGACGUGUGAGUAUAACUUUUCCUGGUGAGUUGAACCUGCCUGUGGGUGUGGUGGGGAUAUUCCUGGGAGGUCUACUGAUGAAGAGGUAUAAGCUUGGCGUUGUGUCUGGAGCCCAGCUGUCUUUCGUCACCUCCUUCAUGGCCAACCUCCUCCUCCCUCUGCAGUCUGGCACUAAGUGUGACAAUGUUCAGGUGGCUGGUCUGACCGUGUCCUACAAUGGGUAAAUAUGACAUCUGAUUGGUUGAUUGGUGGGUGGGUUGAUUAAAACAAAAGUUUUGUUCAGUGGAAUAUGAGGGAGAGUUAGCCCAAAACACACAUGGGCUUGUGCCGGGGUUCCCUCUUGUGUGAAUAUUCAGUAUGGUUGUUACUGAGUCAGGAUUCCUGGCUGUUUUGUCACUGUGCCUGUGUCAAUGAUAGUUCAGCAACAAUUAUUUAAACAUCAUUAUUACCAGCCAUUUUCUCUGUCCCCCAGGUCCCCUGGUGUACGAUGGCAGCCUGUUGUCAGAGACUGCUCCUGCUUGGCUGGGGAGUGGGACCCUGUGUGUUCAGACAAUGGCAUCAGCUACACCUCCCCCUGCCUCGCAGGCUGCUCCACCUUUACAGGUUAUGGCAAGAACGGUACCAAUACUAUUAAUGUACUGAGUGUACAACACAUUCACAGUGAUGCUGGCCCAUGUUGACUCCAAUGC